UUGCUCGCUGCUCAUAUGCUGUCAGAGAAAACCACCGUUGCUUGAUGUUAUUUUUUUACAAAUUUGCAUUUGGAUCAGCGGGUCAUUACAGAGUAAACUUUCCAAUAGUUUGGGGCUGCAUGACCUGCGCAGGCGCCAUUGUCAUAUCCAUGGACUAUAACGUACAUCUACUGCUGCCAGUUGUCUCUAUCAAGUAAAAGUUGACCUUGGAGACGGGACGUUUAUUAGACUCAUUGGCUCCGUGCUAUCUUGUCAGGCUACAGUGCAUCAACGAAAAGAUGGUGCCCUUAUCAGGACUGGUGCGAGACCCUUGAGGUGUGCGCAACCACAGCCGUUUCAAGAGCGCGUACAUCAGCCUGUUGUGCCGAGCACCGAUGUGUUGUUGCGCUGGUGCGUAGCGCUUGGCCAUCUUCACCCUCUGUCACAGCAGCAUCAACAAGAUCAUCCCUCUGUGCGACAGUAGAGGGUGUUGCCCCAGUGUGUCCUGUACAGCUGGUGCUGCUGUGGCUGCUUGUCGCGCUCCUCCACUGCAUUCCAGACUUAAAGGACCCUGUUCCUCUGCUCUGACGUAAGUGACAACGUGCCCUCUGUCAGGCCAAUCUCCACCAGCACAGGGCAGAAGAUUUCCAGCUUCUGAAAGCCUGGAGGAGGGUUUGGACUGCAGACAUCCUCCUGUUGAAAGAGAAAAAAAGAAAAAGCUAUAUGAAUAAGAAGACACACAGCUACUCACAAAGGCCGGAGUGUGAACAGUGGAGGUUACCCUGCUGAUGAGCGUGAUGUGGCGCAGGACGGCAGUCAGCACAUCGUCAUGUGCCUCCUCGUCGCUCUGGUACACCUCGUCAGCCACAUCUGGAUCGAGCUGCCCAUGCUGAAUCACCUCUUCAGGACAUCGCUGACGAUGGACCUGGCAUUUGUAGUAGGGGACGUUUGUAGAAGGGCACACCAUGUUUGUGGUAAAUGCCACCUGUCGCUACCCGAUCCAAGUCGCGCAUGCUCACACACUAACGGUUUACAGCAUAAGGCUCAACAUCAACAUAUCCAAGUCGCGCAUGCUCAGACACAAACGGUGUACAGCUUGAGGCUCAACAUCAACAUAUGGGGCUUGUCUUAACGCAUAAUGUGGGUAUAUAUUUUUUUUAACACUUUAUUUAUGGUGAUUUUUAACCAAUUAACAGACAAUACAUUUUAAAUGUUAUAUGAUGUAGAAUUAUGUUACAACAAUUGACAACUCACAUGACAUGACAGACAGACCUAAGGGAAAGGGGAAAAAAACACAAAACAAAACAAAAAAAGGCAAAACAGCAUCCCAGUAUAUGAGUAGGACAGAUCAAUACUGACAAGAUAUUAUGUUUAUGUUUGCUUUAUGUUUUGCAUCAUAUCUCUGAUCCAUUGAUUAUGUGUUGGAUGUUUUGAAUCCUUCAAUUCAAAAGGAAUGGCACGCUUAGCCAAUACUGAGGAGAAAGCAAUGACCCGCUGUAGGUAUGCUGGGGGAUCGGAGUCCUCUGAACAUGGUGUGAUACCAAAGAUGGCAGUUGCAGAAGAAGGCUGAAUAUUAUAAUUAUAUAUUUGGGAAUUUAUUUUGAAAUGGGAAUCCCAGAACUCAGUGAGUUUUGAGCAAGACCAUAACAUAUGGUCGCAGGGGCCUGUUUGCAUCGGUCACCAGAUGGGUUUAUAUCUGGAAAUAUUAUAAUGUGGGUAUAUUUUUAACAUAAUGUUGAAUAAUGUUGUAAACGGUUUACAGCAUAAGGCUCAACGUCAA